rnacentral:rRNA from 1 species
UGGGGAAUAUUGCACAAUGGGGGAAACCCUGAUGCAGCGACGCCGCGUGAACGAAGAAGGUAUUCGUAUCGUAAAGUUCUGUCCUAUGGGAAGAUAAUGACAGUACCAUAGAAGAAAGCUCCGGCUAAAUACGUGCCAGCAGCCGCGGUAAUACGUAUGGAGCGAGCGUUGUCCGGGAUUAUUGGGCGUAAAGGGUACGCAGGCGGUUUAAUAAGUCGAAUGUUAAAGAUCGGGGCUCAACCCCGCAAAGCAUUGGAAACUGAUAAACUAGAGUAGUGGAGAGGAAAGUGGAAUUCCUGGUGUAGUGGUGAAAUACGUAGAUAUUAGGAGGAAUACCAGUAGCGAAGGCGACUUUCUGGACACAAACUGACGCUGAGGUACGAAAGCGUGGGGAGCAAACAGG